UAGGUUAUGAUUUAUAUUUAUUUUUAAGAUUUAGUAAUUACUGUUUUGGAUUUAGUAUAUAAAAGUUUGGGUUGACGUUGGAGUAAUCAUUAUCUCCAUUAUUAUUAAAUUAUUUUAAAAUUUCAUUAUUAUGAAGUAUACCAUUUAGAAUAUUCUAUUCUAUUUACUCAGUUUAUCUUCUUCUAUAAUGUUCUCUUUUUCCAAUCAUCACAUUCAUAGCAUGACCAACAUCGUAGUCAGAGUAAUUUUUGUUUGAAAGAUGAUCGCUUCUUUUGGAUUGAUGACGUCUGUUUCAUCCAUGAUCACUCUUACCGUAGUCACCAUCUCGUAGUCAACGCCACCGCCGGUGCGAUAGCCACGACCGCCGCAAUGACCAUUACCACUGCAAUGACCAUUACCACUGCAAUGAUCAUCAACUCCGUUUUCUUUCUAACCAUUCUCUUUCCAUUGUAAUUUUUUAAUCAACAUGACUAUAAAUUUAUUAAUCACAAUAUUUUUUCAUUGCUAGCAACCGGUUCAGAAAAAAGGACAAAACCGAAAAAAUAUUAUACAAAUGCUAGAAAUCUAAUAACAUCAAAAUUAUUGAUAUAUUCUUAAUUUAUUGCUGAAGUAUGCCUAGUUGGCAAAUAAGCCCAAAAGAAAAGCCAGUCACUAACAGUUUCACUUCUUUCUUCUUCAACUCCACUGCGCAGAUCCGAAGAGUUUUUCGUCUUUUUGAAUCUUUCUCUCUUUCUUCAAUUUGCUAACAGCAUCACGUAUGAUUUAAUCUCUCUCUCUCUCUCUCUUUAGGUUCGUACUACGCAAUGCUUGAUUCGUUAAUCGUUAUAUAUCGAUUUCUGUACAAUGUAGAUUGAGAAAUUAGAUUAUCAGUGGGAAUGUACCAUUCACAUUACGAAAGAUGGAUACUUUUCGUUGUAUCUAUCUAUACCAAUAAAUGAGGCUUUUCUCCCUUCUCCUUGUGCUAGGUCAGCAUGGAGAGAGGGGCAUUUGGUGACACCUGGCAGCUCUUCAUUCAUCAACUUUCUCCUUUCGUCGUUAACCGAAAAUAUCCUCUCUAUGGGCUUUCUUGCAAUCAUAUUAUUCAGACCCAAUAUCUAUAGGCUUUCAUCUUUUUUGUAAUAUCGGCAAACAAAGCUUUGUGUCGCUUCCUUCUCUUCAGAUGAUUCCUCCUCCGAAGAACUCUCUAUAAGGGCUCUGAUUUUCAUUCAUGUGCUCCCUAAAUCCGUGCGUUAACGUGAUUUACCGCAUUCGACCCACUCUCUAGCAUUGAAUCGAGACCUCUUCAUCUUCUGAGUGCUUGAUCGUUGGGAUGUCGACGCUGUGCUCUGUGAUCGAGAACGUUGCUUUGGUAAUGGCAAGCUUCCUCAUGUUCUUCACGAUAAAAAUUGGGAUAUAAUUUUGGAAUAGUCCAUUGUCUAUGGCUUCCAUCGGUUGGAACUGUAGACCUUAAAGAGGGCUCGAGCCGUUGUUCCACGAAAGGGAAAUGGUGGUGAUCCUGAUGGAAAUCCAAGUUCGCCAUCGAUCAAAACAGAAGACUGUCAGGAUGAGGAUGACUAUAAAGAUGAAGCAGAGUUUGACAUUUAUUGUAUCCAACGACGUCUGAGCAAAUGGUACGAGAGACAAAGUGCGAUGAUUCUUCUGCUGGCUUGCAUUCUCCUAUAAUUUCUUCUUUUUUUAAAAUUUUUUUUUUUGCAGGGAUUAGUAAAUGGGAGAAUCUGAGGUAGAUCAACAGAUAGAAUAACUUUUAUGAGACGCAUGGGAUAACGUUUUAGCAAGUUAAACAGAGAAAGUCAAAAGGUGCGGGCUUGGCAGAUGAGUUGGCAGCUUGAAGAAGAAGACAUUUGUUCUCUCGGGAUAUUUUCAGUAAAGGAGUUGUUGAACAUAAGUAGAAGUGCUGGAUGUCUUUGGGAAUUACGAUUGAGGAUUGUAAUCAUAAACAAAGCAAAACUUAGGUCUUUUGAGGCGAGAGUUCAACAGAUCUUCAAGUGAUGGAUUUGUAAAUUUUUUAUUCAGAUUCAGUUAUUCAGUGUACGCCUGUACCAUUUUGUAAGUCAUCUUUUUAAAUUGAAUAACAAGUUACAGAGA